rnacentral:lncRNA from 1 species
AAAACCUGAUGAAGAAAAGAAAGAUCUUAGUAAUAAAGCUAUGCCAUCACAUUGUGAUUAUCAGCAGAACUUGGGGAAUGAGCCAGACAAAUAUCCCUGUAAUGGACAAGUAAUACCUACAUUUUGUGACACUUCAUUUACUUCUUUCAGGCCUGAAUGGCAGUCAGUAUAUCCUUUUAUAGUGCCCUAUGGUCCCCCUCUUCCCAGUUUGAACUAUCAUUUAAACAUUCAGAGAUUCAGUGGUCCACCAAAUCCACCAUCAAAUAUUUUCCAAGCCCAAGAUGACUCUCAGAUACAAAAUGGAUAUUAUGUAAAUAAUUGUCAUGUUAACUGGAAUUGCAUGACUUUUGAUCAGAACAAUGAAUAUACUGACUGUAGUGAGAAUAGGAGUAGUGUUCAUCCCUCUGGAAAUGGCUGCAGUAUGCAAGAUCGAUAUGUGAGUAAUGGUUUCUGUGAAGUCAGAGAAAGAUGCUGGAAAGAUCAUUGUAUGGACAAGCAUAAUGGAACAGACAGGUUUGUGAACCAGCAGUUUCAAGAGGAAAAGUUAAAUAAAUUGCAGAAGUUACUUAUUCUUUUAAGAGGUCUGCCUGGUUCUGGGAAAACAACAUUGUCUCGAAUUCUGCUUGGUCAGAAUCGUGAUGGCAUUGUGUUCAGCACUGAUGACUAUUUUCACCAUCAAGAUGGGUACAGGUAUAAUGUUAAUCAACUUGGUGAUGCCCAUGACUGGAACCAGAACAGAGGUUUGUUUUGGGCUAAGUGUCCCAGGAUAGAAUAUUUGGCUAGGAGUCAAAAGACCUAGAUUUUAUUUUCAGCUUAGGUUUUUACCAGCUGAAUGACUGUAGGCAAGCCGUUUAAAUAGCUUUGAGACCUAAUUUCUCCAUCUGUUAGAGGUGGUGAUAAUUAUACUUGCCCUACCUGAUCAGGGUUUUUGUGAAAAGCAGAGAAUUUAGAUAAAACGCUUUGUAAACUGUAAAUAGUUUAUCAGUAUAAGCUGGUAAAAUAAUAGCAGCAUGGGAUAUUUUAAGAGGCUUUAUUUUAUACUUGAUGAGUAAAUUCAGAGAACUUUGAAUCUGUACCAUUGUUAUGUAGUCCCAAAGUUAUUUCCCCGAGAAUAAUGCUAAUGUUUUCCAAGGCUUAAUAUACUGGUUGUGAAUAUUAAAAGUUUUUCUCAUUGAUAUUGCUCUACAAGAAACCUACUUAAUACAUUUUUUAGCGGACAUGGGUCAAUUUCUGUUUAUCAUUAAUAGGGGUUCUUAACCUGGGCUACACUUUU